UACGGGGGGAGCAAGCGUUGUUCGGAUUUAUUGGGCGUAAAGGGCUCGUAGGCGGUCUGUCGCGUCGGGAGUGAAAACUCAGGGCUUAACCCUGAGCCUGCUUCCGAUACGGGCAGACUAGAGGUAUGCAGGGGAGAACGGAAUUCCUGGUGUAGCGGUGGAAUGCGCAGAUAUCAGGAGGAACACCGGUGGCGAAGGCGGUUCUCUGGGCAUUACCUGACGCUGAGGAGCGAAAGUGUGGGGAGCGAACAGG
rnacentral:rRNA from 1 species